rnacentral:lncRNA from 1 species
UCCUAGUUGAAGAAACAUCCCUUUCCAAAUUUGACAAGGGGGAAGCGCUUCCUCUGGAGGGGCAUGCAGCACCUGGAGCAGUCAUGUCAGGCCUGCCUGAUUCCCAUCUUCUUGCCAGGCAUAUCUUUAUUUUUAAAUGCCCUGGAGAUCUUUGAAAGUGCAAGCUGAACAGGCUUCUUGCCCCAUGGACCCACUACAGGUGCAGUCACAGCGAACACGAUAUCAGACGCCAUGGAUAUGAUGGUAAUGC